CCAAAUGUGCAUUCUGAUGCUGUUCAAUUCUGCAGAUCAGUUGACAUACAGAGAAAUAGAACAGGCAACAGAAAUCCCAGCUCCAGAUCUGAAGCGUUGUCUUCAGUCUCUUGCUUGUGUCAAGGGUAAAAAUGUCCUGCGCAAGGAGCCAAUGAGCAAGGACAUUGCUGAAGAUGAUGCCUUCUAUUUCAAUGACAAAUUUACAAGCAAAUUCAUCAAGGUGAAGAUAGGGACUGUGGCAGCACAAAAGGAGUCCGAGCCAGAGAAGCAGGAGACUCGCCAGAGAGUAGAAGAAGACAGAAAACCUCAGAUUGAAGCUGCCAUCGUGAGGAUUAUGAAAUCCAGAAGGGUAUUAGAUCAUAACACCAUUGUAACAGAGGUCACGUCCCAAUUGCAAUCACGCUUCCUGCCAAAUCCAGUUGUCAUUAAAAAGAGAAUAGAGUCUCUCAUCGAGCGGGAGUUUUUAGAAAGGGAUAAAACCGACAGGAAACUAUAUCGAUAUCUUGCUUGAGUGCUAUUUGAUGUCUCCUGUGGAUGGAGGAGGCCUUACUCUCUGAU
rnacentral:lncRNA from 1 species